UCUUCUAACUGUUGGAGUUGCUGUGGAAUGGAGCCACUGGCGGGGUGUUGCUGCUGCCAGAACCACCGGGAAGGAUUGCUGGGAAUCACUGCUGCCCUGUUUUCGUUCUAAUUAGGUUCAACAUCCAUUGGCCUGGAGCUGUUUCUGCCUUUCGAUUCCAUCGAAUUCGAAAUCUUCAUUUCACUGCAACCAUGGUCAUUGUUGUGGAAGCUAAUGCUACUGCUGUCCCGGUUGUGUUGAGAUGUAGUGCUGCUGCUUUCUGGGCAGAAACGGUUGCGUGACUAUUAGAGGUCCAGCCAGCUGUCUCGCAGCAAUUCUGCCAACGGUCUCUUGUAAUUGCGACAUCGAGUGACACAGGUUUGAAGAUGUGAUUUGAAGCUGCGAGCGAUUAGUAGGCUUCCUUUAUGGUUUUAAUUGCUUUCAUAGAGUCCCCUCGCUCUUUUCCUUUGAAGUUUUAUUUUAUCAGAGGGGUAGGUA